rnacentral:rRNA from 1 species
GGACGGGUGAGUAACACGUGGGUAACCUGCCUGUAAGACUGGGAUAACUCCGGGAAACCGGAGCUAAUACCGGAUAGUUCCUUGAACCGCAUGGUUCGAGGAUGAAAGACGGUUUCGGCUGUCACUUACAGAUGGACCCGCGGCGCAUUAGCUAGUUGGUGAGGUAACGGCUCACCAAGGCGACGAUGCGUAGCCGACCUGAGAGGGUGAUCGGUCACACUGGGACUGAGACACGGCCCAGACUCCUACGGGAGGCAGCAGUAGGGAAUCUUCCGCAAUGGACGAAAGUCUGACGGAGCAACGCCGCGUGAGUGAUGGAGGUUUUCGGAUCGUAAAGCUCUGUUGUUAGGGAAGAACAAGUGCAAGAGUAACUGCUUGCACCUUGACGGUACCUAACCAGAAAGCCACGGCUAACUACGUGCCAGCAGCCGCGGUAAUACGUAGGUGGCAAGCGUUGUCCGGAAUUAUUGGGCGUAAAGGGCUCGCAGGCGGUUUCUUAAGUCUGAUGUGAAAGCCCCCGGCUCAACCGGGGAGGGUCAUUGGAAACUGGGAAACUUGAGUGCAGAGGAGGAGAGUGGAAUUCCACGUGUAGCGGUGAAGUGCGUAGAGAUGUGGAGGAACACCAGUGGCGAAGGCGACUCUCUGGUCUGUAACUGACGCUGAGGAGCGAAAGCGUGGGGAGCGAACAGGAUUAGAUACCCUGGUAGUCCACGCCGUAAACGAUGAGUGCUAAGUGUUAGGGGGUUUCCGCCCCUUAGUGCUGCAGCUAACGCAUUAAGCACUCCGCCUGGGGAGUACGGUCGCAAGACUGAAACUCAAAGGAAUUGACGGGGGCCCGCACAAGCGGUGGAGCAUGUGGUUUAAUUCGAUGCAACGCGAAGAACCUUACCUACUCUUGACAU